CAGCCGCCGCGGGAAUACAGAGGGUGCAAGCGUUAAUCGGAAUUACUGGGCGUAAAGCGCGCGUAGGUGGUUCGCCAAGUUGGAUGUGAAAUCCCCGGGCUCAACCUGGGAACUGCAUCCAAAACUGGCGAGCUAGAGUAUGGUAGAGGGUGGUGGAAUUUCCUGUGUAGCGGUGAAAUGCGUAGAUAUAGGAAGGAACAUCAGUGGCGAAGGCGACCACCUGGACAGAUACUGACACUGAGGUGCGAAAGCGUGGGGAGCAAACAGGAUUAGAGACCCGGGUAGUCCCUGUCUCUUAUAC
rnacentral:rRNA from 1 species